UAUAUACAGGAAAAACUUAAAAAACUCUCCCUAUAUUUUCGUACUCUUUCAUUUUGCUAUUCUAUGAUUUAAAAUAUAUCAAAUUAAUACUCUAUAAUUUCAUAUUUUUUUACUUUAGUACCUUAUAGUUUAAAAUGUAUCAAGUUAAUAUUUUGUAAUUUUAUUUUUGUGUCAAAUUAGUACUCUAUGUUUUUUUUUCUUGAUAAAAUAUUAAACCACAGGAUGCUAAAGUGAGAAAGUGCAAUAUCAUAAGAUACUAAAGUAAGAAAAACCACAGGGUACUAAUUCGAUACAUUUUAAACCAUAGAGUAUUAAAAUAAAAAAGAGUGAAAGCACGUGAGGGUAUUUGAAAUUUUCCCUUAUAUAUAUAUACAUACAUAUAUUUAUAUUAUAUAUAU
rnacentral:lncRNA from 1 species